CGUGGGUAACCUGCCCAAGAGAUCGGGAUAACACCUGGAAACAGAUGCUAAUACCGGAUAACAACAGAUGAUGCCUAUCAACUGUUUAAAAGAUGGUUCUGCUAUCACUCUUGGAUGGACCUGCGGUGCAUUAGCUAGUUGGUAGGGUAACGGCCUACCAAGGCGAUGAUGCAUAGCCGAGUUGAGAGACUGAUCGGCCACAUUGGGACUGAGACACGGCCCAAACUCCUACGGGAGGCAGCAGAC
rnacentral:rRNA from 1 species